UAAGUAGAUUCCCUUCAGUACCUCUUGCGGAUGGAUGGUGGUUCUCCCUUUUUUAUUUAACUAGGCAAUUCAGUUAAGAACAAAUUCUUAUUUACAAUGACGGCCUGCCGGGGAACAGUGGGUUAACUGUCUUGUACAGGGCAGAACGACAGAUUUUUACCUUGUCAGCGAUUCAAUCCAGCAACCUUUUGGUUACUGGCCCAACGCUCUAACCACUAGGCUACCUGCCGCCGCAUUGCCGCCAUGAACUUCUCAAACUCCCCCUCAGGCACAAGACCCAGCUCCUGGUAAUAGUGUUCAAACAGCUUGUUCUCCUUGGAGGAGCUACCUGCUUUUCUGGUGCCACUGUGCCUUAUGCUGUGGACUUCUGCUGAGAAAACCACUCAUCUUCCCAAUCAGUUACUGCUGGUUGGUUAUUUUGCUCUGCCCAGAAUACCUGCCCAUAUGCAUUGCACCAAUCAUCUAUCCAUUUUUUUUUUGGUGGAGGGAAAUCUACAUCAUUUGCAUUGUUCGUCCUGGCCUUUGUGUUCUGCAUCUAUAAUGGCUAUAUGCAGGUCAGCUACCUGAGCAACUGGGUUACCAGCCCCUGCUUCAUCACAGGCUCUGUGCUGGGGUUGGUGGGUUGGUUGGUGAACGUUCACUCUGACCACAUCCUAAGGAACCUACGGAAGCCUGGAGAGAGGGGCUACAAGAUACUGUACCAAAAGAUAAGAUUCCUGCUACCUGCAGGUUCGCUCUGGCCAAUCAAAACCACUACCUGGAAGUUUCCUAGUAAAGCACUGAUCCUUAAUCUACGUCUACAUGCAGUGGAGAAUCACUGCUUGUUCCUUUUCAGCACGUGUUAAAUUCAUUUCACAAAGGGCCGAGUGUCUGCAGGUUUUCGCUCUUCCCUUGAACAUAAUUAAUGAAUUAAGGUCACUCAUUAGUAAGAAACUCCCCUCACCUGGUUGUCUAAGUCUUAAUUGAAAUUGAAAAGAAAAACCAGCAGACUCUACGCCCUCCAUGGAAUGAGUUUGACACCCUUGCUUUACAGUUACAGAUAGUGCAUAUCCAUUGACUUAUUCCACAUUUUGUUGUUGUUACACCCUGAUUUGUUUUACCUGUCUUGUGCUUGUCUCCACCCCCCACCAGGUGUUUCCUAUUUUUCCCCAUUAUCCCCUGUGUAUUAAUACCUGCGUUGUUCUGUUUGUCUGUUGCCAGUUUGUCUUGUCGGGUCUUACCAGCGUGUUUCAGGUUGCUUCUGCGCUUAAGUUUGUUUUUCGAGUCUUCCCGGAUCUGACCUUUCUGUCUGUCCUGACCCUGACUUCCGUUCUGUCCCUGUUUGACCCUGCCUUGGAUUACGAACCACUGCCUGUCCUCGACCUGCCCUUUGCCUGCCCCUUUCUAUAAUAAAUAUUCUGAGUAUUGAACUAUCCACCCCCUGUGUCUGCAUCUGGGUCAUAUCCCGAGUCGUGAUAGUACGAACUGGCCAUGACUGACCCAGCAGACUCGGACCAGCUCCGCGACGCUGUCUCUUCCCAAGGAGCCACCAGGAGUUCCUUGAAAGGCUUAUGGAAAGACUCCAGACCUUGGUGGAAAACCAUGACCAUGCUUUCAAUGCAUUACUGGAGCUAUUCCACGGAUUUUCUAACAGGCAGCAAGCCACAACUGUAACCUCCCAGAUUCUCAGUAAUCCCGCUACCUGCAGUGUUUCUCCCCAGCCUACCCCAACUUCCCGUUAACCUUGCUUACCUCCUCCGGAGCACUACGCUGGGGAUCCAGGAACCUGCCGGGCUUUUCUCUCCCAGUGCUCCCUCAUUUUCGAUCUGCAGCCCUCUUCGUUUCUGUCGGACCGUUCUAAGAUGGCGUAUCUUAUAAUGCUGUUGUCCGGGAGGGCACUCGCCUGGGCUACGGUGGUAUGGGAGCAACAAUCCACCGUUUGCCUUAGGCUGGAGGAUUUCGUGGCGGAAGUAAGGAAGGUGUUUGACUUGCCGUUGUCUGGGAUAGAGGCGGCUCGCAAGCUACUUCAACUGUAGCCAUUAAAUGCUAUCCACAUUGACAGGACCGCAGUGGAGAUGGUGAAAACUUCACGUUUCUCGGCGUACACAUCACCGAUGAUCUGAAAUGGUCCACCCACACAGACAGUGUGGUGAAGAAG